GGUCAGGAUGGGGGCCAGACGAGGGGCUAGGGAGGCCAGCGGCGUCGUCAGCACCAGGAGGCCCGACCGGAAUACGGCCAUGGUUCCCAGGCCUGUGGACAGUCAGGGAGACAAAGCGAGGGUAAUUGAGGGGCCUGAGGCUAAGGCAGAGGCUUACAUGGGGCUUUAGACCCGGGAGAAGGGGACCUGGAGCAGGGACAGGAUCUCAGUGACGAUCGAGAGGAACGAGGGUAGGGGACAGGGCCUGGCUGACGGCGCUCAGGGCUGUGCUCUAAGCCUUGGUCUCCUCAUUUCUCAUAUAGUGUGGUGACUUCACUAAACUGAAUCGAAAUCCUGGAAGGGGAAGCGGGGACUGGACGGGAGCCCCUGAGUCAUGGGCCUGGGGAUGCAGAAAUCCUGGGCCCUCUUGCUAAGCUGCACCAGGGUCUUCAAGCAACUGAAGAAGGAGACUAAAGGGGAACGCUCAAACUCAGGAACACAUAGAGGCCAGGUCUUGUGGCUGCUAUACGAGGCUCUCCGCACCACCCGGAUCCAAUGAUGCACCUGUUCGCAGGGGAAGAGAGGUGAACUCUCCGUGUGAGCUCAGUGGAGCUGCCAGGGUCUUUGUGGACAGGAGAAAAGGGUGGGAGAUCCAGGGUAGAGGAUACAGCACGAAGCUAAUGAGUACUGAAAAGUCUGGAGUUGGUAGGUUUGGUGUGGAGGAGAAACCAGGUUGCCACCAGAAAACAUUUCAGAUAAAUUGUCCACGGAGAUUUCAAAAGGAAGGGAAACCAACCUCCCAGAUUCCAGUAGUGUGCUGUGGUUUAUUUUCCCAAACUGAAUAAAUAUUGACUUUUUAAGAUAAA